rnacentral:rRNA from 1 species
UACGUAGGCAGCGAGCGUUGUUCGGAGUUACUGGGCGUAAAGAGUGUGUAGGCGGUGCUCCCAGUCUGUUGUGAAAUCUCCCGGCUUAACUGGGAGGGUGCAGCGGAAACUAGAGUGCUAGAGGGUGGGAGAGGUAAGCGGAAUUCCUGGUGUAGCGGUGAAAUGCGCAGAUAUCAGGAGGAACACCGGUGGCGAAGGCGGGUCUCUGGGCAGUAACUGACGCUGAGGAGCGAAAGCGUGGGGAGCGAACAGG